rnacentral:rRNA from 1 species
CAGCAGCCGCGGUAAUACGUAGGUCCCGAGCGUUGUCCGGAUUUAUUGGGCGUAAAGCGAGCGCAGGCGGUUAGAUAAGUCUGAAGUUAAAGGCUGUGACUUAACCAUAGUAUGCUUUGGAAACUGUUUAACUUGAGUGCAGAAGGGGAGAGUGGAAUUCCAUGUGUAGCGGUGAAAUGCGUAGAUAUAUGGAGGAACACCGGUGGCGAAAGCGGCUCUCUGGUCUGUAACUGACGCUGAGGCUCGAAAGCGUGGGGAGCAAACAGGAUUAGAUACCCCUGUAGUCCCUGUCUCUUAUACA